rnacentral:lncRNA from 1 species
AAAAAACCCGCCCGGACCGGAUCCGGCCCGGACCCGGCCAAUCCGGUCCGGGCAAAACCCGGACCGCAUAUAUAGAAAAAGCGGAUCCGGGUUUCAAAAAUUAAAACCCGGACAUAUCCGGGCACGGUCCGGGUUCAGCACCGAAAACCUGAAACCCGGACCCGGACCCGUUUUCCCAAUUAAAAAAAAAAAAAACUAAAACCAAAUACCCAAACCGGCAAACCCAAAUCGCAAAAUCCCUAAUUCCCCAAAUCGCAAAUCCGAAACCCAAAGGUAUAAGCAGCGACGCUGCCACCGUCACCGUCGGCUAGCACCCACUGUCAGUCCGUCACCGUCGCCCCUCGGCACUCGGCAGUCGGCAUCAUCUCUUCUCGUUUGCAUUUGCUGACUCAGUUUUGCUCAGUUGCGGCUGUGACGGGAGUCGUUGGUGCAGCGGCAGCAGCGCAGUGCAGCCCCCUCCGGCGCCAUCGUUUGCAAUUUUGUGAGUUGUUUACAGCUUAAUUAUUGAAUGUAUAUGAGUUGUGUAUGUAUUUUUCUUUCAUUUGAAUAGUUGGUACGCGGCAUCACUUGCAAGUUUGUCGAUGCCAUUGUUUUCAUAUAUACUUUACCCUUAUCUACUAUAGCCGAUAGUCUAUCUCAUUCUCAUAGAAUAUGUAUGCAUCUUGUGGGUUCCAAUUCUUGCAUUAAAGGAACAAAUUGUUGCCAUUACUGGUGUAAUAUUGCUGACAUUACUGGUGUAAUAUUGCUGCCAUUACUGGUGUAAUAUUGCAGCAACAGCCGAUAGUCUAUCUCCACAGGAUGUUUCCUUUUUUAAUGUUAGUCUCAUUCUUUACUUUAGGGUAAGCACAUUUGUAUUCUUGCUUUUUAGGUCUCUUGAGGAUUGUUCACAUUACUGUUAUCAAAUAUUGACCAAGUAGCAGAAUUUGCAGCAACUUACCCUGCUUCAAGUUAUGGGCUCAUUGAAACAGGGCUCAUUGAAAGACAAGUUAUAAUGUUAUAUUACAACUGGUUAUUUGUAUGAUUUUGCUUCUGUUGGCUGUGUGAAUCUCUCUGCCCAGCUUGAUUUGAUUUUGUUAUAAGUUUGUAUUUAACUAUUUUCUAAUUUAAAUUAGAAUAGUCCUACCAAUUAAGAAUAAUCACAAACCCGUAUUAUACCCUUGAAGAUGUUCUGAAUAAUAUAUGCUCCAGAUUUUCUAUGUAAUAAUAUUAAUAUGUGCCUAUCAAUAAUUAAUUAGAUCAAUUUGCGGUACUCUAGUAGUUAAUCGAAUUUCACGGUUUUGGUGUUACAAUCAAUUUGCGGUACUCUAAUUAAUUGAAUUUCAUGGUUUUGGUGUUACAGACUCCGGGAAUUUAUGUUUGGACAUACGUGUAUGCCAUCAUGGCAAGAUUUGCAAAUGGUAUCAUUAAAAAUUUAAAAUGAAAGAAUUCUUUUUUUGAAAUAAUUGUUUGCGGGCUUAGAAGCCCGGAAGACAAAACCCGGACCCGGAACACGCCGGGCUCAAGCCCGGACCGGACAUGCAAAAACCGGGUUUUAUCCGGGUCCGGGUUUCAAUUUUUGGCAUCCGGUCCGGUCCCGGGUUGCACCAAACCCGGACCGGACCCGGGGUUUUGCCAAGCCUAC